rnacentral:rRNA from 1 species
GGUGUGGGGGACAUUCCACGUUUUCCGCGCCGUAGCUAACGCAUUAAGUGCCCCGCCUGGGGAGUACGGCCGCAAGGCUAAAACUCAAAGGAAUUGACGGGGGCCCGCACAAGCGGCGGAGCAUGCGGAUUAAUUCGAUGCAACGCGAAGAACCUUACCAAGGCUUGACAUGAACCGGAAAGACCUGGAAACAGGUGCCCCGCUUGCGGUCGGUUUACAGGUGGUGCAUGGUUGUCGUCAGCUCGUGUCGUGAGAUGUUGGGUUAAGUCCCGCAACGAGCGCAACCCUCGUUCUAUGUUGCCAGCGGUUCGGCCGGGGACUCAUAGGAGACUGCCGGGGUCAACUCGGAGGAAGGUGGGGACGACGUCAAAUCAUCAUGCCCCUUAUGUCUUGGGCUUCACGCAUGCUACAAUGGCCGGUACAAAGGGUUGCGAUACUGUGAGGUGGAGCUAAUCCCAAAAAGCCGGUCUCAGUUCGGAUUGGGGUCUGCAACUCGACCCCAUGAAGUCGGAGUCGCUAGUAAUCGCAGAUCAGCAACGCUGCGGUGAAUACGUUCCCGGGCCUUGCACCACCGGCCCGUCAAAA